GCGGGGAUACCGGAGUGGUCAAACGGGCAGGACUUAAGAUCCUGUGUGCUUAGUGCCUUCGUAGGUUCGAAUCCUACUCCCCGCA
rnacentral:tRNA from 1 species